AACGAAGAGUACUGCCGUUAUUUGUGUUGAUUGGGUGUAAAGGGUACGUAGGCAGCUCCCAGUAAUUUUUGGCCAAAAUAGCAGAGAGUUCCUGUGCGAUCGGCCUUUGAAGAAAGGAGCUUGAGUUAAUGAUGGGUCGGGGCAAAUUCGUGCCUAGGGGUAGAAUCCACAAAACCACGAAUGAACACCAGGUGGUGAAAACUUCCUUCUAGCAUUAACUGACGCUAAGGUACGGAAGCGUAGGUAGCAAACAGG
rnacentral:rRNA from 1 species